GACGAACGCUGGCGGCGUGCCUAACACAUGCAAGUUGAGCGACGAACCAGGGCUUGCCCUGGGGCAAAGCAGCGAACGGGUGAGUAACACGUGGGUAACCUACCCCGAUAACCGGGACAACCCGAGGAAACUCGGGCUAAUACCGGAUGUGCUCACUGGACUUCGGUUCAGUGCGUAAAGGAAGCUUCGGCCUCCGUAUCGGGAGGGGCCCGCGGCCCAUUAGUUUGUUGGUGAGGUAACGGCUCACCAAGACCGCGAUGGGUAGCUGAUCUGAGAGGACGAUCAGCCACACUGGGACUGAGACACGGCCCAGACUCCUACGGGAGGCAGCAGUGGGGAAUCUUGCGCAAUGCGCGAAAGCGUGACGCAGCAACGCCGCGUGGGGGAAGAAGGCCUUCGGGUUGUAAACCCCUUUCAGGAGGGACGAAGGUUCGGCGGUGAAUAGCCGUCCGGACUGACGGUACCUCCACAAGAAGCCCCGGCUAACUACGUG
rnacentral:rRNA from 1 species